AUGACGGCCUUCGGGUUGUAAACCUCUUUCAGUAGGGAACAAGGCCAGCAUUUUUGUUGGUUGAGGGUACUUGCAGAAGAAGCGCCGGCUAACUACGUGCCAGCAGCCGCGGUAAUACGUAGGGCGCAAGCGUUAUCCGGAAUUAUUGGGCGUAAAGAGCUCGUAGGCGGUUUGUCGCGUCUGCCGUGAAAGUCCGGGGCUCAACNCCGGAUCUGCGGUGGGUACGGGCAGACUAGAGUGAUGUAGGGGAGACUGGAAUUCCUGGUGUAGCGGUGAAAUGCGCAGAUAUCAGGAGGAACACCGAUGGCGAAGGCAGGUCUCUGGGCAUUAACUGACGCUGAGGAGCGAAAGCAUGGGGAGCGAACAGGAUUAGAUACCCUGGUAGUCCAUGCCGUAAACGUUGGGCACUAGGUGUGGGGGACAUUCCACGUUUUCCGCGCCGUAGCUAACGCAUUAAGUGCCCCGCCUGGGGAGUACGGCCGCAAGGCUAAAACUCAAAGGAAUUGACGGGGGCCCGCACAAGCGGCGGAGCAUGCGGAUUAAUUCGAUGCAACGCGAAGAACCUUACCAAGGCUUGACAUGAACUGGAAANACNUGGAAACNGGUGCCCCGCUUGCGGUCGGUUUACAGGUGGUGCAUGGUUGUCGUCAGCUCGUGUCGUGAGAUGUUGGGUUAAGUCCCGCAACGAGCGCAACCCUCGUUCUAUGUUGCCAGCACGUAAUGGUGGGGACUCAUAGGAGACUGCCGGGGUCAACUCGGAGGAAGGUGAGGACGACGUCAAAUCAUCAUGCCCCUUAUGUCUUGGGCUUCACGCAUGCUACAAUGGCCGGUACAAUGGGUUGCGAUACUGUGAGGUGGAGCUAAUCCCAAAAAGCCGGUCUCAGUUCGGAUUGGGGUCUGCAACUCGACCCCAUGAAGUCGGAGUCGCUAGUAAUCGCAGAUCAGCAACGCUGCGGUGAAUACGUUCCCGGGCCUUGUACACACCGCCCGUCAAGUCACGAAAGUUGGUAACACCCGAAGCCGGUGGCCUAACCCC
rnacentral:rRNA from 1 species